rnacentral:rRNA from 1 species
UGUAUAAUGGGUCAGCGACUUAUAUUCUGUAGCAAGGUUAACCGAAUAGGGGAGCCGAAGGGAAACCGAGUCUUAACUGGGCGUUAAGUUGCAGGGUAUAGACCCGAAACCCGGUGAUCUAGCCAUGGGCAGGUUGAAGGUUGGGUAACACUAACUGGAGGACCGAACCGACUAAUGUUGAAAAAUUAGCGGAUGACUUGUGGCUGGGGGUGAAAGGCCAAUCAAACCGGGAGAUAGCUGGUUCUCCCCGAAAGCUAUUUAGGUAGCGCCUCGUGAAUUCAUCUCCGGGGGUAGAGCACUGUUUCGGCAAGGGGGUCAUCCCGACUUACCAACCCGAUGCAAACUGCGAAUACCGGAGAAUGUUAUCACGGGAGACACACGGCGGGUGCUAACGUCCGUCGUGAAGAGGGAAACAACCCAGACCGCCAGCUAAGGUCCCAAAGUCAUGGUUAAGUGGGAAACGAUGUGGGAAGGCCCAGACAGCCAGGAUGUUGGCUUAGAAGCAGCCAUCAUUUAAAGAAAGCGUAAUAGCUCACUGGUCGAGUCGGCCUGCGCGGAAGAUGUAACGGGGCUAAACCAUGCAC